GAUGAACGCUGGCGGCGUGCCUAAUACAUGCAAGUCGAGCGAACAGACGAGGAGCUUGCUCCUCAGACGUUAGCGGCGGACAGGUGAGUAACACGUGGAUAACCUCCCUAUAAGACUGGGAUACCUUAGGGAAACCGGAGCUAAUACCGGAUAACAUGUUGAACCGCGUGGUUCAACAGAGAAGAAAGGUUUUGCUGUCACUUAUGGAUGGAUCCGCGCCGGAUUAGCUAGGUGGUAAGGUAACGGCCUAGCAAGGGGACGAUGCGUAACCGGACUGGUAGGGUGGACGGCCAACACUGGAACUGGACCCGGCCCCAGCCCCUACGGGGGGGAGCAGGGGGGGAUCCUCCGGAAGGGGGGGAAGGCCGACGGGGCAACGCCGGGGGGGGGAUGAAAGGCUUCGGGUUGGAAAAACCCUUUAAUUGGGAAAAAACAACUGUUUACGAAAAUAGGCACGGCUUGACGGUACCGAAAUAGAAAGCCACGGCUAACUACGUG
rnacentral:rRNA from 1 species